ACAUCAGUAGCCGCGGGAAUACCGAGGGUGCGAGCGUUAAUCGGAUUUACUGGGCGUAAAGCGUGCGUAGGCGGCUUUUUAAGUCGGAUGUGAAAUCCCUGAGCUUAACUUAGGAAUUGCAUUCGAUACUGGGAAGCUAGAGUAUGGGAGAGGAUGGUAGAAUUCCAGGUGUAGCGGUGAAAUGCGUAGAGAUCUGGAGGAAUACCGAUGGCGAAGGCAGCCAUCUGGCCUAAUACUGACGCUGAGGUACGAAAGCAUGGGGAGCAAACAGGAUUAGAUACCCCGGUAGUCCCUGUCUCUUAUAC
rnacentral:rRNA from 1 species